UAUCUCUCCGUACGGGGAAGGAUGAGAAGCUUCGACUAAGGUUCGAUUCGAGCGAAAGCGAGAAAGCGUUGCCGUAGGCAACGACCCGAAGGG
rnacentral:sRNA from 1 species